GUCACUGCUAUUGGGAUUCGAUUAAGCCAUGCGAGUCGAGAGGGUUCGGCCCUCGGCUGACGGCUCAGUAACACGUGGACAAUCUGCCCUAAGGUGGAGGAUAACCUCGGGAAACUGAGAAUAAUACUCCAUAGAUCUAAGAGACUGGAAUGCAUUUAGGUUAAAAGCUCCGGCGCCUUAGGAUGAGUCUGCGGACUAUCAGGUUGUAGUCAGGGUAAUGACCUGACUAGCCUACGACGGAUAUGGGUUGUGAGAGCAAUAACCCAGAGAUGAUAUCUGAGACACGAUAUCAGGCCCUACGGGGCGCAGCAGGCGCGAAAACUUCACAAUGCGCGAAGGCGCGAUGAGGGAAUCCCAAGUGCUUGCACUUAGGUGUAAGCUGUUUUUAUGUUUAAAAAGCAUAAAGAGUAAGGGCUGGGUAAGACGGGUGCCAGCCGCCGCGGUAAUACCUGCAGCUCAAGUGGUGGCCGCUAUUAUUGGGCCUAAAACGUUCGUAGCCGGCUUAGUAAAUGCCUGGGUAAAUCGUGUAGCUUAACUAUACGAAUUCCGGGCAGACUGCUAAACUUGAGACCGGGAGAAGCUAGAGGUACUCCUGGGGUAGAGGUAAAAUUCUGUAAUCCCAGGGGGACCACCAGUGGCGAAGGCGUCUAGCUAGAACGGGUCUGACGGUGAGGGACGAAGCCCUGGGGCGCAAACCGGAUUAGAUACCCGGGUAGUCCAGGGUGUAAACGCUGCUCGCUUGAUGUUAGUUGGGCUCCGUGCCCAAUUAGUGUCGGAGAGAAGUUGUUAAGCGAGCUGCCUGGGAAGUACGGUCGCAAGACUGAAACUUAA
rnacentral:rRNA from 1 species